ACUGCUCAGUAACACGUGGACAACCUACCCUUAGGUCUGGAAUAAACCUGGGAAACUGGGUAUAAUACCGGAUAGGGCUCGGAUGCCGGAAUGCACCGAGCCUUAAAGCUCCGGCGCCUAAGGAUGGGUCUGCGGCCUAUCAGGGUAGUAGUGGGUGUAAAGUACCUACUAGCCUACGACGGGUACGGGUCGUGAGAGCGAGAGCCCGGAGAUGGAUUCUGAGACACGAAUCCAGGCCCUACGGGGUGCAGCAGGCGCGAAAACUUUACAAUGCUGGAAACAGCGAUAGGGGGACUUUGAGUGCCAGGAUACAAUCUUGGCUGUCGUCGUGCCUAAAAAGCACGGCAUAGCAAGGGCCGGGCAAGACCGGUGCCAGCCGCCGCGGUAACACCGGCGGCUCGAGUGGUAACCGCUAUUAUUGGGUCUAAAGGGUCUGUAGCCGGCUGAAAAAGUCUCUUGGGAAAUCUGGCUGCUCAACAGUCAGGCUAUCAGGAGAUACUCUUCGGCUCGAGACCGGGAGAGGUGAGAGGUACUUCAUGGGUAGGGGUGAAAUCUUGUAAUCCUUGAAGGACCACCAGUGGCGAAGGCGUCUCACCAGAACGGAUCUGACGGCAAGGGACGAAAGCUAGGGGCACGAACCGGAUUAGAUACCCGGGUAGUCCUAGCCGUAAACGAUACUCGCUAGGUGUCAGCCACGGUGCGACCGUGGUUGGUGCCGUAGGGAAGCCGUGAAGCGAGCCACCUGGGAAGUACGGCCGCAAGGCUGAAACUUAAAGGAAUUGGCGGGGGAGCACA
rnacentral:rRNA from 1 species